rnacentral:lncRNA from 1 species
GUUUCAAUCAGAAAAUUACCAGCAUCAUUCAUGGCUGUGUGCUGCUGGAUCCAGUGAGAAUGGUAUCUGAGCUGCAUGUAAACUGCAACAAUUGACAUGCUGAAGAUCUGGAAUUUGAUCAGUUAAUAGGGACAGAAAGAUUACUUACCUUGCUGCUGUAUAUUGGAUCCAUUUUAACAAAGCCUUCCUGGCACUUCCUUGGACCUUGGUUACCACCUUCCGUUUGCUUGGGGGACUUGCAGUUUCUGAACUGACAACGCUCUCCACAGAAGAAGCACUGCUAGACAAUGACUGCAGCUGUGGAAGAUUGCUG